GCCUGGGUGGCUCAGUCGGUUGAGCAUCCAACUUCGGCUCAGGUUGUGAUCUCACAGUUCGUGGGUUCGAGCCCCGCAUCAGGCU
rfam:Felis catus isolate Cinnamon breed Abyssinian chromosome D1, whole genome shotgun sequence.